ACGAGUAAUAGUAGGUUUAGAGUGCAGCUGGUUUAAAUCCUAAUCCACCUAUGUGUACUCUAAUUCGAAAGUCCAUCAUUACUUUUAAAUUGAUCGACCAACUAUCACCUUAUUUUAAACAUCUAUUGUCUGGAAAAGUAUUAUGAUAUAAACAAGUUCAAAUA
rnacentral:misc_RNA from 1 species